CUAGAAAGAGAAAGUGGCCUGUGGUGAGUGGCAGUUUGGAGAGACCAGAGACGGACAGUGUGGCAGUUUGGAGCAAACAUGAUGAGGAAAUCGAGUCACAGAGAGGCUCCAUCCUGUGCCUCACAGCUGCCGCAGGGCAGAGGGGACCACAUUCCUACAUCCUUCCCCAGUGGGCCUUGAGACAUUGGUGGUGUGGUGGCAAAUGACAGGUGACGGUCCCUGCACCUCCCCUCCAUUCCCAGCGUCACCCAUGCCCAGAGCUGAUCACCCUGCUGUGGCGCUCACGUGUGAACCCUCAGAAUAAAGAACCCUCGAAGUUCGGCAGACAUGCGCUCCACGAGGCACGUUUACCUCUCCCGAUGGUGGUACCUGAGUUACUGAGGCAGCACCUCGCUCCUGACUGUGAUUUAAAGCUGCCUGGUAAACGGUUUCUGAGAGUCAUCAGGCCUGAAAAGUGUCCACCUGCCACUAAGUUUCUAUUUGCUCCUUCCCGCGCUCAUCCAUCUUUCUUCGGUGUC